rnacentral:lncRNA from 1 species
UUACAGCUGUCUUUUUUUUUUUUUUUUUUUUAAGAUUUAUUUAUUAGAAAAAGAGAAUGCAAGGAGGAGGGACAGAGAGAGAGGGAGAGAGAAACUUUAGCAGACUUCUGAUCUGAGCACUCCUGGAGCCUGCCAUGGGGCUGGAUCCCAGGACUCUGAGAUCAUGACCUGACCUGAAACCAGGAGUUGAACCUGACCUCAACCAACUGCACCACCCAGGUGCCCUGACAGCUGUCUUUUAAGGUUAUGUGAAGAUACUCUCUCUGAAAAAACUCAUCUAAUCCCACAGCUCCAUUACCAAAUCUGUUCUGAUUUCUCUGGAACCUAUUCUGCAGCCUAAAUCUCUCUUAAGCUCCAGAGGCUUAUACCCAAUGGCCUCCUGAACAUCUCCACUUGGCUAUUCUGCAAGUACUUCCAACCCAACAUGUAUAAAACUAAACCUGAUAAGUAUGACUUUCUGAUCAAGUGAUUAAAUGCCUUUCUGAGGUAUGAUUAAGGCUAUUGACUCCUUAAUGUUGUAGGACAUUAUUGUUGUAGUUCAAAGCUAAUGCAUGCAGUUAUUAGACACGAA